rnacentral:rRNA from 1 species
GACGAACGCUGGCGGCGUGCUUAACACAUGCAAGUCGAACGGAAAGGCCCUGCUUUUGUGGGGUGCUCGAGUGGCGAACGGGUGAGUAACACGUGAGUAACCUGCCCUUGACUUUGGGAUAACUUCAGGAAACUGGGGCUAAUACCGGAUAGGAGCUCCUGCUGCAUGGUGGGGGUUGGAAAGUUUCGGCGGUUGGGGAUGGACUCGCGGCUUAUCAGCUUGUUGGUGGGGUAGUGGCUUACCAAGGCUUUGACGGGUAGCCGGCCUGAGAGGGUGACCGGCCACAUUGGGACUGAGAUACGGCCCAGACUCCUACGGGAGGCAGCAGUGGGGAAUAUUGCACAAUGGGCGGAAGCCUGAUGCAGCAACGCCGCGUGCGGGAUGACGGCCUUCGGGUUGUAAACCGAUUUCGCCUGUGACGAAGCGUGAGUGACGGUAAUGGGUAAAGAAGCACCGGCUAACUACGUGCCAGCAGCCGCGGUGAUACGUAGGGUGCGAGCGUUGUCCGGAUUUAUUGGGCGUAAAGGGCUCGUAGGUGGUUGAUCGCGUCGGAAGUGUAAUCUUGGGGCUUAACCCUGAGCGUGCUUUCGAUACGGGUUGACUUGAGGAAGGUAGGGGAGAAUGGAAUUCCUGGUGGAGCGGUGGAAUGCGCAGAUAUCAGGAGGAACACCAGUGGCGAAGGCGGUUCUCUGGGCCUUUCCUGACGCUGAGGAGCAAAAGCGUGGGGAGCGAACAGGCUUAGAUACCCUGGUAGUCCACGCUGUAAACGGUGGGUACUAGGUGUGGGGUCCAUUCCACGGGUUCCGUGCCGUAGCUAACGCUUUAAGUACCCCGCCUGGGGAGUACGGCCGCAAGGCUAAAACUCAAAGGAAUUGACGGGGCCCCGCACAAGCGGCGGAGCAUGCGGAUUAAUUCGAUGCAACGCGUAGAACCUUACCUGGGUUUGACAUGGAUCGGGAGUGCUCAGAGAUGGGUGUGCCUCUUUUGGGGUCGGUUCACAGGUGGUGCAUGGCUGUCGUCAGCUCGUGUCGUGAGAUGUUGGGUUAAGUCCCGCAACGAGCGCAACCCUUGUUCACUGUUGCCAGCACGUUAUGGUGGGGACUCAGUGGAGACCGCCGGGGUCAACUCGGAGGAAGGUGGGGAUGACGUCAAGUCAUCAUGCCCCUUAUGUCCAGGGCUUCACGCAUGCUACAAUGGCUGGUACAGAGAGUGGCGAGCCUGUGAGGGUGAGCGAAUCUCGGAAAGCCGGUCUCAGUUCGGAUUGGGGUCUGCAACUCGACCUCAUGAAGUCGGAGUCGCUAGUAAUCGCAGGUCAGCAACGCUGCGGUGAAUACGUUCCCGGGGCU